CACCACUAGAGAGCAAAGUAGAUUGCAGAGUAAUGGAUGCAGGGCGAUGGGAGCAGUCAUUGCGUCCCUUUCUUGGGCCACGAAUUUGUAAAUACAGUCGUUUGGGCGCUAGACUUUGCUUAGCACACAUUUUCUUCUUACAUUUUCUUUCUUUUUCCCUCGAGUUUAAUAUUGAAAUGGCAAAUUUAGUCCAGGCAACGACCUAAAUUCUGAUGAAUUAAACCAGAAUAUAGAUUCAGGUAUGAAGGGAAGUUUUCUUUCUGCAGUUCUCUCACUGUGAAGUUCUCUUUCUGCAGUUCUCUUACUGCACAUAACUGUGGCAUUAUGGGAAGUCUUACUAUGAAAUCUUUCUAUGCUUACUAUGAAAACUCUUGCUUCUUUCCUCUUGGAUUCUGGGAAGUCUCCUUCUGCUCUGCACAUACUGUUCCAAACACACUGAGCUCAGCACACCCAGACAUUCCCUCAAUUCUUCAGUUCAUUCUGAGUUCAUGUACAAAAAACAACAUGCUCUGUUCUCAAUGCAUAGCUGACCACAUAUACGGACCUUUCACUUAUGAUCAAUCAUUAGUAAUUGUUUUAGUCAUGUUAUAUUAAUCUUAGUUAUAAUUUAAUUAGGAGGAUUCAUGCCUGUCUAGUUCCAGCUCCGCUCCCAGUCUUUUGAACUAUCACUGAUUAAUGUAAUAUGUAAUGCCCGCCUUGUACCUAUGUUAACCAAUCAGCAACAAGAUGCUUUGUGUUUGUAUCAGCCAAUCAGCCACAAGCACACCUGUGGCAAUGUUUGUAAUAUUCAAUAAAAGAGAGUUCCCGGGACUUGCCCCGAGCAGAUGCCUCUCCUUUGACACCCACCAUUCGUCUGUCGUGAUUUCAACCCAACA